CUACGUGCCAGCAGCCGCGGUAAUACGUAGGUGGCAAGCGUUGUCCGGAAUUAUUGGGCGUAAAGCGCGCGCAGGCGGAUUGGUCAGUCUGUCUUAAAAGUUCGGGGCUUAACCCCGUGAUGGGAUGGAAACUGCCAAUCUAGAGUAUCGGAGAGGAAAGUGGAAUUCCUAGUGUAGCGGUGGAAUGCGCAGAUAUCAGGAAGAACACCGGUGGCGAAGGCGGGUCUCUGGGCCGUUACUGACGCUGAGGAGCGAAAGCGUGGGGAGCGAACAGGAUUAGAUACCCUGGUAGUCCACGCUGUAAACGUUGGGCACUAGGUGUGGGGGCCACCCGUGGUUUCUGCGCCGUAGCUAACGCUUUAAGUGCCCCGCCUGGGGAGUACGGCCGCAAGGCUAAAACUCAAAGGAAUUGACGGGGGCCCGCACAAGCGGCGGAGCAUGCGGAUUAAUUCGAUGCAACGCGAAGAACCUUACCAAGGCUCGACAUGC
rnacentral:rRNA from 1 species